UCUAAGUAUAACCUGCCAGACAGGGAAACUGCGUACGGCUCAUUACACCAGCCUUAAUUUACUUGACCUUGACAACCUACUUGGAUAACUGUGGUAAUUCUAGAGCUAAUACAUGCACCAAAGCUCCGAUCCUCGCGGAGAGGAGCGCAUUUGUUCGCCACAAAACCAAGCGCCCAUCUGGGCGUCCAGUGCUGAACCAGAACAACUCAGCUGAUCGCACGGUCUUGUACCGGCGACGUGUCUUUCAAGUGUCUGCCUUAUCAACUUUCGAUGGUAGUGUACCUGACUACCAUGGUUGUGACGGGUAACGGAGGAUAAGGGUUCGACUCCGGAGAAGGGGCCUGAGAAAUGGCCACUACGUCUAAGGAUGGCAGCAGGCGCGCAAAUUACCCACUCUCAACGCGAGGAGGUAGUGACGAGAAAUAACGAGACCGUUCUCAUACGAGGCCGGUUAUUGGAAUGGGUACAAUUU
rnacentral:rRNA from 1 species